UACAGAGGGGGCAAGCGUUGUUCGGAAUUACUGGGCGUAAAGGGCGCGUAGGCGGCCUUCUAAGUCAAACGUGAAAUCCCUCGGCUCAACCGGGGAACUGCGUCUGAUACUGGAAGGCUUGAAUCCGGGAGAGGAAUGCGGAAUUCCUGGUGUAGCGGUGAAAUGCGCAGAUAUCAGGAGGAACACCGGUGGCGAAGGCGGAUCUCUGGGCCUGUUCUGACGCUGAGGCGCGAAAGCUAGGGGAGCGAACAGG
rnacentral:rRNA from 1 species